rnacentral:rRNA from 1 species
UACGGAGGGUGCAAGCGUUAUCCGGAUUCACUGGGUUUAAAGGGUGCGUAGGAGGGCAGGGAAGUCCGUGGUGAAAUCCUAGAGCUUAACUCUAGAACUGCCGUGGAUACUCUCUGUCUUGAAUCCCGUGGAGAUGAGCGGAAUAUGUCAUGUAGCGGUGAAAAUGCUUAGAUAUGACAUAGAACACCAAAUUGCGAAGGCAGCU